GGGGCCUACGGGAGGCAGCAGUGGGGAAUAUUGCACAAUGGGCGCAAGCCUGAUGCAGCAACGCCGCGUGAGGGACGAAGGCCUUCGGGUUGUAAACCUCUUUUAGCAGGGAAGAAGCGAAAGUGACGGUACCUGCAGAAAAAGCACCGGCUAACUACGUGCCAGCAGCCGCGGUAAUACGUAGGGUGCAAGCGUUGUCCGGAAUUAUUGGGCGUAAAGAGCUCGUAGGCGGUUUGUCACGUCUGCUGUGAAAUUUCGAGGCUCAACCUCGAACUUGCAGUGGGUACGGGCAGGCUAGAGUGCGGUAGGGGAGAUGGGAAUUCCUGGUGUAGCGGUGGAAUGCGCAGAUAUCAGGAGGAACACCAAUGGCGAAGGCACAUCUCUGGGCCGUAACUGACGCUGAGGAGCGAAAGCGUGGGGAGCAAACAGGAUUAGAUACCCUGGUAGUCCACGCCGUAAACGGUGGGUGCUAGCUGUGGGCCACAUUCCACGUGGUCCGUGACGAAGUUAACACAUUAAGUACCCCGCCUGGGGAGUACGGCCGCAAGGCUAAAACUCAAAGGAAUUGACGGGG
rnacentral:rRNA from 2 species